AGCUUAAAAUCUCACAUGCUGGUAUUGUCUUCCUUCAUAGCCCAUAUAGGUGUUGCAUGGAGGUACAUGCUCUAGGAAGCCUUGAAGUACCAGAUUAUUAACCAUCCACUCAAGAACAAGCUGAGGACUCCCACUGAGAAUACUGAAAGCUGGGACCCAGUUGCCUGUUCUGGAGGCCAGCUCCGAGGCUGCAUGACCGUGGGAGCAGGUUACAAGAUAAUGUACAUCUCAGCUCAUCAGUAGCAAGUUUUCUUGCUGCACAAGUUUUACGUCAUGUGCGGAAAUAAAAGAACAGUUUUCCCUCCACACCAAAUUAAGCUAGCAAUAGAAGUCUGAAAGAAGGUAUUUUUAUUGGACAAUGAUUCCGUUGUUUUGUGUUCCUUCAGAAGUGACUUACGGCAUAAAAUCCAAACACAGAAACAUUUUUUCCUAUCAGGAAGUUGGUAGCUCCUUUGGGUGACCAUGAAAGUUGUGAUUGUAUGGCUGAAGCAAGGCUAUUACUCUAGGAAACAACUAUUUUUAUGAACAGUGUCAGAGAAGAAAUAUUGAUUACAAUUUCAAUGAUCAGUGAAAAGCUGAAGCUGCAUUCAAUCUUGCUUGUUUUCAAGAGAAAACAAUGUAAUCAAAUCUUAUUUUAAUAUUUCACUACAUUGAGCAAUCUGUAGUUACCAUUUUGAGGAGCAGGUCUGUAUCAGUGCUGUUAUUUAUAGGUGGCUUUCUUAAACUGGAUAUUUUUUCCCUGCUGAGUCUAGAAGUAAAUCUAAUUUCCAUGUCCUUAUGUUGUUAUAUUAGUUAUGCUUUUUAGGUUCAAAAAAUGUAUGGCAAGAAAUACUCCUUUUCUAUUUCCUAUUCAAGCCUUUUUUCACACCAUCCUCGGGACAAGUGUGCUGGAUGUAUUCCCUCCAUGGAGACCUACUAGUUCUUUCACUACUGCAGUCUUUCUUUCCACUUCUCCAUGUUUCAUGUCAGGUCUCACCUCUUUGCCAGUCUCCCAGCAGCCUUUACUGAUUUUAGUGACUGACUUAUGAUCCCUAAGAAAUCUCAUGCCCUAAAAAACACGAAAGAAUAGACAUUGGAAGUAAAAAGGAAGAUUCAUAAGGGAUAAUCAUCACAGAA